rnacentral:rRNA from 1 species
AACGAACGCUGGCGGCAUGCCUAACACAUGCAAGUCGAGCGGGGUUUUCGGACCUAGCGGCGGACGGGUGAGUAAUGCGUAGGAAGCUACCCGAUAGAGGGGGAUACCAGUUGGAAACGACUGUUAAUACCGCAUAAUGUCUACGGACCAAAGUGUGGGACCUUCGGGCCACAUGCUAUCGGAUGCGCCUACGUGGGAUUAGCUAGUUGGUGGGGUAAUGGCUCACCAAGGCGACGAUCCCUAGCUGGUUUGAGAGGAUGAUCAGCCACACUGGAACUGAGACACGGUCCAGACUCCUACGGGAGGCAGCAGUGGGGAAUAUUGGACAAUGGGCGCAAGCCUGAUCCAGCCAUGCCGCGUGUGUGAAGAAGGCCUUCGGGUUGUAAAGCACUUUCAGUAGGGAGGAAGGGUGUUGUGUUAAUAGCACAGCAUUUUGACGUUACCUACAGAAGAAGCACCGGCUAACUCUGUGCCAGCCGCCGCGGUAAUAC